rnacentral:tRNA from 1 species
GGCGAGGUUGCCCGAGUGGUUAAAGGGAUGGACUGCUAAUCCAUUUGUGCUUUGCGGCGUGGGAUUUCGAAUCCCAUCCUCGUCG